rnacentral:rRNA from 1 species
UACGUAGGGUGCAAGCGUUGUCCGGAAUUAUUGGGCGUAAGGAGCUUGUAGGCGGUUUGUCGCGUCUGCUGUGAAAUUUCGGGGCUCAACCCCGAACUUGCAGUGGGUACGGGCAGACUAGAGUGUGGUAGGGGAGACUGGAAUUCCUGGUGUAGCGGUGAAAUGCGCAGAUAUCAGGAGGAACACCGAUGGCGAAGGCAGGUCUCUGGGCCAUAACUGACGCUGAGAAGCGAAAGCAUGGGGAGCGAACAGG